GGUGUUGUGGCUCAGUGGUAGAGCAUCUGCCUGGCAUGCAGAACCUCCCAGGUUCAAUCCCCGGUAUCUCCA